GCUGUGGUAGCUCAGUGGUAGAGCACACCCUUGGUAAGGGUGAGGUCGAGAGUUCGAUCCUCUCUCACAGCACCA
rnacentral:tRNA from 1 species